rnacentral:rRNA from 1 species
UAAUACAUGCAAGUCGAGCGGACUUUAAAAGCUUGCUUUUAAAGUUAGCGGCGGACGGGUGAGUAACACGUGGGCAACCUGCCUGUAAGACUGGGAUAACUUCGGGAAACCGGAGCUAAUACCGGAUAAUCCUUUUCCUCUCAUGAGGAAAAGCUGAAAGACGGUUUACGCUGUCACUUACAGAUGGGCCCGCGGCGCAUUAGCUAGUUGGUGAGGUAACGGCUCACCAAGGCGACGAUGCGUAGCCGACCUGAGAGGGUGAUCGGCCACACUGGGACUGAGACACGGCCCAGACUCCUACGGGAGGCAGCAGUAGGGAAUCUUCCGCAAUGGACGAAAGUCUGACGGAGCAACGCCGCGUGAGUGAUGAAGGUUUUCGGAUCGUAAAACUCUGUUGUUAGGGAAGAACAAGUACAAGAGUAACUGCUUGUACCUUGACGGUACCUAACCAGAAAGCCACGGCUAACUACGUGCCAGCAGCCGCGGUAAUACGUAGGUGGCAAGCGUUGUCCGGAAUUAUUGGGCGUAAAGCGCGCGC